AAAAUUCUAUUUCAAAUUUUUUAAAUUUAAAAAAUUCAUUAAUACAGUUAUGAAGCAAUUCAAUCUAUCCACUCAGAUUCUGUCAUCCUGACCAUUCAUCUAGAUUUAGAGUGCUCGGAUCUCUUCAUCCAGAUGGAUCUUUAUGAUUCAAAUCCAAAUCCAAAUCAUCCAGAUGGAUCUUGCAAGAUGUCGGAUCGGCGGCCGGCGGCGGCGGUCAGCGGCGGUCAGCGGCCGGCGGCGGCGGUCGGCGGUGGGGGGCGGGGGCCGACGGUGGACUAAGGGCAGAUUACGCCCUACCAAACGUUAUCCCUUUCUUUUUCAUCCCGACAUUUCAUUCCCUACCUCCCGAUCGCACACCUCAAGCCCACACCCGAACCUCCCUUCUUCCUCCUCCAACCACAGUCCACCAAGGUCGGCGGCCGCUGCCCUCAUCACAGUCGGCCUUCACAACACCCCAUCUCACCUUACCCUCUCUCGAUCGGGAGAAGCUCCUACCGCCGACAGCCCUUCUUCAUCUCCUCUACCUCUCCCAAUUGAAAAAGGAGGAGUCAUCUCGUCCUCUCCAAUACUCAUCCCCGGCGCCACCACCACAUCCUUCCUCACCGGCGGCCACCAUUCUAUCUUCUUCCUCACCCAAUCGGGAGAGGAGGCACCGACCAUCUCCACCUUCUUCCUCUCCCGAUUGGGAGCGGAAGCGCCACCUUGGGAACUCUCGAAUCCGAGGCUCUUCCAUUCAUCCAUCCUCAUCCACAGCUCUCUAUUCAAUUGGGAGAGAUUUUGACAGCCCACCUUCAUCCACCUACAAGUUCACAUCAGUGAGCUUCAGGAUUCCAAGCUCUUCUGCACUAUACACCCUUCCGAAUCCGUAGGUGGUAGCAUGAUUCAUUUCCGCUGCUCAUCACACGCCAUCCAUUCCGCUCGAGGAUAUAAGUAGAGGGAAAGAUAUUGGUUUCAGCAAAGAAAGAUCAAGGGGGAGAGGAUACGGAGAUGAUACUCUCUUAUAAUACAAGAUAAGUAUAUAUAUUAAUGGUAUACAAAUUGAAGAAAUCAUUGAGUUACAUAAUAUUUACUUUGAUUAUGCAUGUAUGCAACAUGAUACAAUGCAUGAAUUUGACAACAUACCAAAUGAAAUACAAGUGUGUGAAUUUAUCUCAAUAUUGUAUUUAUUAAAUGACAUCCAUUAUAAUAAUGUAUUUAUUUGUUAUAGGAUGAGGAGGGGAAAUCAAUUUCAGAAAUUAUUUAAAGCUAAGAGAAAUGGAACUCAUCACAUAAAAUAGGCAAAAGGAAGAAAAGCUUAUCGAGGAAGGUAGAUAAAGAGAAGAAAAUCUAAAGAUGGUUCGUAAGAUAAUUCAAAAGGUGGGAUAUACAAAUCAUUUGUAUGAGGAUUGGUCCCGGGGGCUCGUGAUAGACGAAAUGAAGAUUAAAGUAUUUGUGAUAAAAUUUAAAAUUUUAUCAAUUACUUGCUAAAUUUAGUUGAAUGAUGUGAAUAUUCAUUUAUCUUUAAUUGUAUGAUACUUUUAGAUUAGAAA